rnacentral:rRNA from 1 species
GAUGAACGCUGGCGGCGUGCCUAAUACAUGCAAGUCGAGCGAACUGACGUUAAUCUUGCUUCUCUGCUGUUACCUGCGUUCGUGUGAUUCACACUUUGUUAACCUACCUAUUAGACUCGGAUCACUUCUGUAAACCGGAGCUCUUACCGGAUAAUAUUUUGAACCGCAUGGUUCAUCAGUUCUAGACGGUCUUGCUGUCACUUAUACAUUUAUCCUCGCUGCAUUUGCUAGUUGGUAAGGUAACGGCUUACCAAGGCAACGAUGCAUAGCCGACCUGUGAGGGUGAUCGGCCACACUGGAACUGAGACACGGACCAGAGUACUACGGGAGGCAGCAGUAGGGAAUCUUCAGCAAUGGGCGAAAGCAUAACGGAGCAACGCCGAGGGAGUAAUGAAGGUCUUCGGAUCGUAAAACUCUGUUAUUAGGAAAGAACAUAUGUGUAAGUAACUGUGCACAUCUUGAAGGUACAUAAUCAGAAAGCCACGGCUAACUACGU